rnacentral:sRNA from 1 species
CUCUCUCGGGGCUGGUGGCCUGCGUGGGCGGCCGGGUGGUCGGCAGAGCCGUCGGGGCCCCCCCGGCUCAGAAAGAGGCCGAAAUGGCUGCGAAGCAGACCCCGGGCAGGAGUCGCUCGGGCGCAGGGAGGAAGUGAACCGGCCGGAGGUAGCGCCCGGCUGCUGGCCCCACAGUCCCGACACCUUCGGAACUCCUAACUCCUGUACUUGUCCGGCUGAAAGGUCACCUGCCCCAGUCCCCAGCUGUGCCGCUUGCUGGGCACGGAGCCUCUGGUAACUGCCCCCUGAUACACACAGUGCCCGGGGAUAGAACCCGUGUGCGUGGACCUGGGUGACUGGGAGGCCACCGAGCGGGCGCUGGGCAGCGUGGGCCCCGUGGACCUGCUGGUGAACAACGCCGCUGUCGCCCUGCUGCAGCCCUUCCUGGAGGUCACCAAGGAGGCCUUUGACAGAUCCUUUGAGGUGAACCUGCGUGCGGUCAUCCAGGUGUCACAGGUGAGCUGCCCUGUGGGCUGGACGGGAAUUCUCGUGAGUGAUGCCAGCUCUGCCUCACGGUCUCGCUGCAAUUCCAGAUUGUGGCCAGGGGCUUAAUAGCCCGGGGAGUCCCAGGGGCCAUCGUGAAUGUCUCCAGCCAGGGCUCCCAGCGGGCAGUAACUAACCAUAGCGUCUACUGUGAGUGCCCCAGCUGCGCCCUC